AACAAACGCUGGCGGCGUGCCUAAUACAUGCAAGUCGAACGGGGAAAGCUUUCGGGUGAGUACUAGUGGCGCACGGGUGAGGAACGCGUGGAUAAUCUGCCUUAGAGUGGGGGAUAACUAGUCGAAAGAUUAGCUAAUACCGCAUAAGACCACAGGAGCUGCGGCUCAAGGGGUCAAAGGUUUUUCGCUCUAAGAUGAGUCCGCGUAAGAUUAGCUAGUUGGUGAGGUAACGGCUCACCAAGGCGACGAUCUUUAACUGGUCUGAGAGGAUGAUCAGUCACACUGGAACUGAGACACGGUCCAGACUCCUACGGGAGGCAGCAGUAGGGAAUAUUGCACAAUGGAGGAAACUCUGAUGCAGCGACGCCGCGUGAGUGAUGAAGGCCUUCGGGUCGUAAAGCUCUGUCGCAGGGGAAUAACACAAUGAAGGUACCCUGUAAGAAAGGAUCGGCUAACUUCGUGCCAGCAGCCGCGGUAACAC
rnacentral:rRNA from 1 species